UAUAACGUCACUUAAAGAACGUCAAAGACAAUACUAAUUUUAUCAAUUUUCAUACAAAAUGCAACAAUCAGUGACAAAAGGUUUUUGGACAGUGAUAUAAUAUAGACAUAUCUGCGCAUUUCCAAAUACUGUUCAGCAUAAUAACACUACCCCUCCCUCCCCCACCCUAAACAAUGUCGGGUCGCUGGCAAGGAAUAUUUUGCGCAGGUAUUUCCACACACAACAUUGAACGGGGGUCGAUAAUGUCGUAAACGUACGCUCUUUUGCUAUUUUGUCCAAAGUGUUUUGUCACUUAUUGUAGGCUAAGUAAUUAACCUAUAGUGGCAUGUUUAUAUAGUUCUAUUUAACUUAAUAAUGUAUUUUUAUAUUUUCUAAUCUACAGGGACCGGUUGUAUAAAUAUGGAAAUCCCUGUAUAUACGAAAUUCAUUCAAAACUGU
rnacentral:lncRNA from 1 species